rnacentral:rRNA from 1 species
UACGUAGGUGGCAAGCGUUGUCCGGAUUUACUGGGCGUAAAGAGCGCGCAGGCGGUCGUUCAAGUCGAGUGUGAAAGCCCCCGGCUCAACUGGGGAGGGUCACUCGAUACUGAUCGACUCGAAGGCAGGAGAGGGAAGCGGAAUUCCCGGUGUAGUGGUGAAAUGCGUAGAUAUCGGGAGGAACACCAGUGGCGAAGGCGGCUUUCUGGCCUGUUCUUGACGCUGAGGCGCGAAAGCUAGGGUAGCAAACGGGGAUUAAGAUACCUUGUA